GACUCUGAUCCAGCCAUGCCGCGUGCAGGAAGAAUGCCCUAUGGGUAGUAAACUGCUUUUAUACGGGAAGAAAAAGAGCUACGUGUAGCUUACUGACGGUACCGUAAGAAUAAGGACCGGCUAACUCCGUGCCAGCAGCCGCGGUAAUACGGAGGGUCCGAGCGUUAUCCGGAAUUAUUGGGUUUAAAGGGUCCGUAGGCGGGCCGAUAAGUCAGGGGUGAAAGUCUGCCGCUCAACGGUAGAACUGCCUUUGAUACUGUCGGUCUUGAGUUAUAGUGAAGUUGCCGGAAUAUGUAGUGUAGCGGUGAAAUGCAUAGAUAUUACAUAGAACACCGAUUGCGAAGGCAGGUGACUAACUAUAUACUGACGCUGUUGGACGAAAGCGUGGGGAGCGAACAGGAUUAGAUACCCUGGUAGUCCACGCCGUAAACGAUGGAUACUAGCUGUCCGGAACCUUGAGUUCUGGGCGGCCAAGCGAAAGUGAUAAGUAUCCCACCUGGGGAGUACGUUCGCAAGAAUGAAACUCAAAGGAAUUGACGGGGGCCCGCACAAGCGGUGGAGCAUGUGGUUUAAUUCGAUGAUACGCGAGGAACCUUACCAGGGCUUAAAUGCAUAUUGACAGGGUCAGAGAUGACUUUUCCUUCGGGCAAUUUGCAAGGUGCUGCAUGGUUGUCGUCAGCUCGUGCCGUGAGGUGUCAGGUUAAGUCCUAUAACGAGCGCAACCCCUACCGUUAGUUGCCAGCAUGUCAUGAUGGGGACUCUAACGGGACUGCCGGUGCAAACCGUGAGGAAGGUGGGGAUGACGUCAAAUCAUCACGGCCCUUACGUCCUGGGCCACACACGUGCUACAAUGGCAGGUA
rnacentral:rRNA from 1 species